rnacentral:rRNA from 1 species
GUGAGGAAUUUUCCGCAAUGGGCGAAAGCCUGACGGAGCAAUGCCGCGUGAAGGAUGAAGGCCUAUGGGUUGUAAACUUCUUUUCUCAGAAAAGAAUUAUGACGGUAUCUGAGGAAUAAGCAUCGGCUAACUCUGUGCCAGCAGCCGCGGUAAGACAGAGGAUGCAAGCGUUAUCCGGAAUGAUUGGGCGUAAAGCGUCUGUAGGUUGUUUAAAAAGUAUUCUGUCAAAGAUUAGGGCUUAACCCUAGAUAGGCAGAAUAAACUUUUAAGCUAGAGUUUGGUAGAGGCAGAGGGAAUUCCCGGUGGAGCGGUGAAAUGCGUAGAUAUCGGGAGGAACACCAAAGGCGAAGGCACUCUGCUGGGCCAAUACUAACACUGAGAGACGAAAGCGAGGGGAGCAAAUGGGAUUAGAAACCCGAGUAGUAC